GAUGAACGCUAGCUGCAGGCUUAACACAUGCAAGUCGAGGGGAAACGACAUCGAAAGCUUGCUUUUGAUGGGCGUCGACCGGCGCACGGGUGAGUAACGCGUAUCCAACCUGCCCACCACUUGGGGAUAACCUUGCGAAAGUAAGACUAAUACCCAAUGACGUCUCUAGAAGACAUCUGAAAGAGAUUAAAGAUUUAUCGGUGAUGGAUGGGGAUGCGUCUGAUUAGCUUGUUGGCGGGGUAACGGCCCACCAAGGCGACGAUCAGUAGGGGUUCUGAGAGGAAGGUCCCCCACAUUGGAACUGAGACACGGUCCAAACUCCUACGGGAGGCAGCAGUGAGGAAUAUUGGUCAAUGGACGAGAGUCUGAACCAGCCAAGUAGCGUGCAGGAUGACGGCCCUAUGGGUUGUAAACUGCUUUUAUAAGGGAAUAAAGUGAGUCUCGUGAGACUUUUUGCAUGUACCUUAUGAAUAAGAACCGGCUAAUUCCGUG
rnacentral:rRNA from 1 species